rnacentral:rRNA from 1 species
UACGUAGGGUGCAAGCGUUGUCCGGAAUUACUGGGCGUAAAGGGCUCGUAGGCGGCCAACUAAGUCGGACGUGAAAUCCCUCGGCUUAACCGGGGAACUGCGUCCGAUACUGGAUGGCUUGAGUUUGGGAGAGGGAUGCGGAAUUCCAGGUGUAGCGGUGAAAUGCGUAGAUAUCAGGAGGAAUACCGGUGGCGAAAGCGACUCUCUGGACGGCAACUGACGCUGAGGCACGAAAGCGUGGGGAGCAAACAGG